GGAAAUAUUGUGACAAAACCAUAAACCGUCUGGUUUCACUGCGAGUUAUUUUUACUUUUGCAACUACAUUUCCUGUCGAGCACAGUAUAGCCUGGUGUAAGUACAAACUCAGAUAAUCCUAAAACCUGGUAACUGCGCGUGUCUCUGCUUCAGUGACCUCCCUGACAACUGCGCGUGUCUCUGCUUCAGUGGUCUCCCUGACAACUGCGCGUGUCUCUGCUUCAGUGGUCUCCCUGACAACUGCGCGUGUCUCUGCUUCAGUGGUCUCCCUGAGCAAGUCUCUUGCAGCGCUCUGGGAGGUAUACCAACUGAACCAAGACAAAGCGAAACUUGAUCAUUUGUCUAACAACAUGGGGAAACAAUACAAUUUAUGAAUGGUAUGAGACAGAAUUCACAAUCACAUUAUUCCAUAUCCCAUCUCCAGGAUUCCAGUUGGAGGAAAAAUCCUCCCAGUUUCGACGUCAUUGCGUGGGCAGGACAGAGUUUAAAAUCGCUGAUCAGAAACGCGUCUAAAGACUGCGGGCUGGAAGGUGGUGUGUGAAGGAAUUUAAGAACCAUCAACCAGAUGAUAUCCCAAAGCUUCCAAGUGCAUCAAGCCCCAGGUUGCAAACCCCUGCUGUGGUGUAGACCCUGGUAUGUUGGGAAGCUUCUGCGUCCAGAGCCGAACUGACUGUUCGACUGGACCUUAUCAGCUCACCUACUCAGUACAUACCUCAACAUCAAAGGAAGGGGAGACUGGGAUCUUCUGUCACAAUGCAAGCUUUUACUUGGACUUCAUCUUCUUCAACGAAUGAUCUGCCUAGCCCAGAGAAUGCAGGUAGCUGGCAGCCUGACCCUACAAUACAUAAUGGAUAUCACAGUCUACAAAAAAGGACAUCAAACAAAGGGAAAAAUUAUAAGUCUUGUUGCUUAGGCAACAAAUAUUCCAUCAGUUCAGCCUCUCAGCCUAGGUUAAGGCCAGCUAAUCUGCAACCAAUCCAAACUCCUAAGUUGUGGUUUUACUCAAAUUCAGCUUCUUUCAGAACUGCUUGUCCAAAUUUUGCUGUACAGAAUGUACCUUUGCCAUCUGGUCAGCCUGGAACCCAUGUGGAAAACCUGAGCCAUCAUCCCCACUCUUCACAUUUAUCAUCCCUAGCCAUUGUCCCCAGUCUUCAAACACUUCAGGAGACCUAUAAGAAUACAACAGCAAUGCAAACCUCUGCCGCGGGUUGCUUUCCUUCUGUUUCUAGCAAUGGAAGCACUGCAUUUAAAGAUAACAAUCUCAGUCACAGCAUAACAGUCCGUAGAUAGGCGCGAGAGGCAAGGACAUCAGCGGCUCACGUGCUGUUCUACCCAUAGAGACAGAAGAAGACUGUGCUAACCGUAGAGAUAGAAGACACCACCUGCGCUCAGGCUAACCAAAACAUAAAGUUCAGAUACUUUGUAGGAGCUGUUUUUUCUUUUUUCUUUCUUUUCUUCUCUGUGUAUAAGGGGAGGGGUACUUGUACUGCGAGACAGGUCUCUUUCUCUGUUAUACAGGGGACAAAACUCAAUAAACUUUUUACUACUCAUUGCAUAAGGCUGUCUGUGUUUGAUGUGCUCUCAUUUUUCCACCACACUAGCUGACUCAAAAUCAAAGAAAACUCAGGGUUUUCGGUUUCAUAGAUUUCAUCUUAAAUCUUAAGGCUGAGCUGUUAGACUUGGCUCACAGUGAUGAUCUGUACAGUGCUACAAGAUGAGACAGAGAGACAUUACUGAAUAUGGUGACAUUGGAAUCGCGAACCCAGACAUCCUCUGUGGAUCUCCCUGUUGUCAAAGCAAAGAAACAGAACAGAAGAAAGCUAAAAGGGACAGCGACAAAGUUAAACCAGAAUAAACACUGGCUCAGCUUUUCAGAGUUGACAGCAGGUUCUGACUUGAAGGGAUUCAGGAGUGAUGCUGGGUUGGCCAGCCAGAUUGUUAUGGUGGAAUUUAAUGCUACCCCUGUAAUGUAUUGCUAUGUACCCUUGUAACUGUGAAUUUUUUUUUGACAGUACAGCUAAUGUUACUUGGCAAAUUUGCUAAUAUGAAUGUUUUGCUAAUGGUGUUUUUGCUUGAGAGUUCUACCCUUGCUGUUUGACUAAUCAAGGUAGCCAUUAUUCUCAAAUCAUUUCCAGUGAUGAUGUUUCUUAACAUCAGCUUAACAUUACUGAUGUUUCUUAGGGAUGCAGUAGGCUACUGACUAAUAAGGAUAUGAUUAAAACAGUUGAUAAUUCACCUACAUCCUCAAAGGACACAAACACACCUCUCUACAUCGUCUUCUCACUAUAAUUAAAGAUGAUACACACACAGUCCUCAUUCAUGCAUGUGCUUCUGUAGAGUUUUUUCUUUAUGUCCUUAUGAGCACAUUAAAUCAAGAACAAUCAGUGUUACCAGGGGCAACACCCCAAUAAUGUUUAAGACAACCUGUAAUCACUGUGAUGGAAAAUAUUAUUCGAUCAUGUAUUAUCAUGUGAUUCAUAUGUAAUGAU